GUGACGUAAUAAAUGGAGAUAAUUUUCACAAAAUUACACCAUGGAGGAUCCUUUUCUAAUACGGGUGUCCCUACAUAUGUUGCAAGUUGUGUGCCAGAGGUAAGGGUCUUGUUCCUGUUUUGAUGGAUCUGCUACCAAAUGCUGAGAGAAGAAUAUGUGCUAGACAUAUUUGGAGCAAUUGACAUAUGCACUGGAAAGGAGAAGAUAGAAGGAAACAGUUUUGGAGAUGUGCAAAAGCAAACUUUGAAGUAAUGUUCAGAGAGGAGAUGCAAGCAAUGUCAAGGAUAGGUAAGAAAGAAAUAACUGAGGACAUGCUGAUUAAUUCUCCUACUUCUUGGUGUAGGGCAUAUUUCAAAACACAUUCCAAAUGUGAUAUUAUAAAAAAAUAAUAUGUGUGAGACUUUCAAUUCUUGGAUCUUAGCUGCUAGACAUAAGUCCAUAAUCACAAUGUUAGAGGAUAUCAGGCAUCAACUGAUGAAUAGACAUGUAGAUAUGAUCAAAUUUGCAGAAACAUGGAUUUCAGAUGUUACACCUAUGGCAAGAACUAUUUUAGAAGAUAACAAGGAAUAUUCAAAUAGGUGUAGAGUACUAUGGAAUGGAGUUAAUGGUUUUGAAAUUGAGGAUGAGGUUUACACAUUUGUUGUUCACUUGGACAAAAAGUAUUGUGAUUGUAGGUCAUGGAUGUUAAGAGGUAUUUCUUGUCCUCAUGCCAUUUGUACUUAUUAUUACUUGAAUGAAGAUCCAGAUCAGCAUGUAGAGCACUGGUAAAGGAAAGAAACCUUUCUUAAGUCUUAUAGCCAUUUCAUUCAACCAAUUACCAAUAUGAGAAUGUGGCUGGAAACUAGAAAUCCAUCACUUGAACCUCCAAAAUCAAGAAAGAUGCCAGACAGACCUGGUAAGAACAGAAAGAAGAAGAAGGAUGAGCCAAAAAAGGGGACAAACUCUCAAAAAAAGGUGUCAAGAUCACCUGUUCAAGGUAUAAGCAAGUUGUCCAUAACAAGACUGUGUGUGCCAAAAUGAAUGGGAUGGGGAGCAGUAAUAGUAGUCAACUUAGUACUCAGCCUGCAGCUUCAUGGAAUCCACUUACCCCACACUUAAGUUCUAUUUGUGGUCACACCAGUGCAAUGGCAAGACAUACCUAUACUUAAAGUCAGGCAACAAGAUCAAGCUCCAUAUUUCAUACCUGUGCAACUACAUAAUCCAGUCAAUCAAGAUCUAUUUAUGCUGACAAACUGUUGUGCCAAGAGCACCUCAAAGAAAGGUGUCAAGUAUUGCUAGUAGAGGUCAAGGUACUGCUGGUAGAGGUAAAGGUUGUUCUGGUAGGGAUGGUGGUUCUGGUAGUGGUGGUCAAUGUGGUGCUGAUAGGAGAGGUGAAACAGGAAUUGGUAUAGGUCAAGGAGGGAGUGGUAGAGGAUUGACAAGAAAAAUAGCUAAUGCAAGAGGGACCCCAUUUGAAAGUGGAAGAAAUGCUUUUUUCAGUCAAUUACCACCUUUGUCAACCAACAAGAGGCCAUACAAUGCUACCUCAUUUGCUGCUGCUACUGGAUACAAAAGGCCUGCAAUUGGUUUUGGUGUUUACUUUGAUCCAACAACUGGAGCCCAAGUGUAUAAU